GAGACAUUGUACCCAUCGGUUAGACUGCUUGUCAAGGAUGCCUGCAGUCAGCCCAAAUGUGAGAUGUUUAAUCCUCUAAUUAUGGAUGACUCCAGUAGCAACAGGCACUCUGAGCCCCCAGCCAGGAUCACAAGAGACAAAAUCCUGACUCCUUCAGGUUGCUGCAGUUUGUUUCUGUCCAGGUUGUGGGGGUGAGGACCCUAGUGGCUGGCAUCAAGGUAGGCCUCAGUUUCACAGACUGACCCAGUGCUCUGAGCCCAGAGAGCAUCCAGGAGAGAAGAUUUGGAGCAAGCCAGGGUCCUCUGGUGACCCAGCCUCUUCUGCUGUUUAUGAAGCCUCGGUGUCAAGAUCUAAGGCCAAGACCACCUGGAAGAAUAUUUGGGGGUUCAGGAACUCUUCAUUUACAAAAGAAGAAGAAGAAGAAGAAGAAGAAGCAGAAGAAGAAGAAGAAGAAGAAGAAGAAGAAGAAGAAGAAGAAGAAGAAGAAGAAGA
rnacentral:lncRNA from 1 species